rnacentral:lncRNA from 1 species
GUUGCCGCCAUCUUCGUCCUGGAGAAACACUUUUUUGGGGGGAGCGCUGGAUUUUGCGUCAUCUCCUCCUGCGCCGAGGUCUCACCAUCCUGGCGCACUGGCGGCGGCCGGGCCCAGGGAGGAAGGCGAAGGCGCACGGGGCGGCGGGGGUGAGGGCCCACGCGGAGGCCCCCGCCCGGCUCCCGGCCGCGCUUGCCUUUCCUUUCCGUCCCCUCCCCACUUUUUAUUUUCUUUUGUCACUGAAGAAAGUCAGAAUGCAGAGUGCGCGGCCGAGGCUGCGGUCUGUCUCCAGCAUCGACCACCCUCUGCCUCUGAGAAAAGUCCGAGCUACGGACGGGAGGUUAGAGAUCCCUGCGGGGUCAGGGUCCGGGUGUUGUCAUCUCCACUAGGGAAUGGUCUCCUUCAAAUGGAUGGUUGGUAGAGGAGGGACGAAGCGACAUUUGCUGACUGUGAAUGUGCCUCGCGGUCCCUGGACAACCGAAGAUUAACAGCCCCCACUGCGAUAAAUAUUCUCCAUGGAUUUUAUUACAGGGAAGGGACGGUGUGUGUCUGUAUGUAUCUGUACAGAUGGUCACAUGUUGGCAGCCACAUAUGUACUGCAUAUAUAUAUAUAAUAGUUCCAUAUUGGCCCACGUUUUCCAGUUCCAAAGUAAACGAUUAGAAGUGGACUCGGAGACUUGGGAAAACGCAGAAAUACCUGCACCACCUGGACCCGGGCGGUCAACGUCUUAAUCUCCGAGGAUUCCUUCACCUGGGAGCAGCCCCUGCUCGGGCGGCCGCCCCCGCACCCCGCCCCCGUACGCCCAGCCCCCACGCAGUGGGCUCCUCCGCCGCCCAGGACUUCCGCAGCGGCGCGCGGGCUGCCGGCAGCAAGCACUGCAGUCC